GAGAGACAGAGCGGACCGGGCUCGGAACCGCGCCGAGAAACGAGCACAGCAAGAACAGAACCGAGAGAGACGGGCGAUCUGAAAGGAGAGGCGGGUGUGGGAGCCGGGCUGUCGUGUCAGUCCUCCAGAACACGUCUGCUUGGUGGGACUCUAGCAGGCUUGUGCUGGCCGGUUUGGAAAGAGGCUCUCGGCUGUGAUACCCAACACUCCCCCCCCCCCCCC